ACAGCAGCCGCCGCGGGAAUACGAAGGGUGCAAGCGUUAAUCGGAAUUACUGGGCGUAAAGCGUGCGUAGGCGGUUUGUUAAGUCUGUUGUGAAAUCCCCGGGCUCAACCUGGGAAUGGCAAUGGAUACUGGCAGGCUAGAGUGUGAUGGAGGAUGGUGGAAUUCCCGGUGUAGCGGUGAAAUGCGUAGAGAUCGGGAGGAACAUCAGUGGCGAAGGCGGCCAUCUGGAUCAACACUGACGCUGAGGCACGAAAGCGUGGGGAGCAAACAGGAUUAGAUACCCCCGUAGUCCCUGUCUCUUAUAC
rnacentral:rRNA from 1 species